rnacentral:sRNA from 1 species
GGGCUUCCGGCGGCGCCAUUGCUCGAGCCAGAGCGGGAGGGCGGGGCGACGCGGUGCGAUGGUUUCGGGUCCGCGGCAGGUGAUACCCGCACGCUGCUUCGUGUGCGCUGUCGUUAGGGCGCCGUGGCCUCGCGUCCGGCGUGGGACUCUGGCGAGGAGACGGAGUGAGUGAGGAAUUCGUACAAGGGACUCUCAACCGCAGAGAGCCGUAGGAAGAAAUGAGGUGGAACCCGCAGACUUUUUAGAGCCUUCUCGCGGCCGAGGAGGGACUCUGGCUUAUUUCCUAACUCACCGUUCACUCGUGCUUUAUAGUUGAACAAUAGUUAAAUAUUUAAAGAUUCAGACAAAGCAGCAGCCGGGCUGGGAUGUGUCCAAUGAACCUUGUUACCAAGGGGGAAAUGCUGCCACUCUGUGGGAAAGAGAUUUUGUUGUUUGUUUUUAAUUUAAGAGCCUAACUUAUUUCACAAAGGAAUGGUCGAUACUUGCCCAAAGUAAACUGUCAAUAAUUAAACUGUCAGGGCAUAGAGAUCCCACAGAAGUACUUGUUCUUCCAAUACAUAAAUAAAGGACUUCAAAAGUCAACAAACAGAAAGGGGUGCGUUAAAUGGGUCUUCUAAUCUACAGGAACUGAAAGAUUAGCUCUGGUUUGGUUGGUGCUCACAUUUUGUGAUUGCUUGCCUGAACUACUUGCUCUGUUUGACCGCCUCUGGCGAAUGUUGCAAGACCUCCUCACUGUUGUGUGCCAAAUAAAGCAGGUUUUUAUUCCUGAGAGACUGUGAGUGUUCUCUUUGAGGGGCAAGCCGAGACAUGUAUGAGUAGUUAAAGUAUAACAACAGUAACCAUUAUUUACCGAGAAGCAGACUUUGGCAGAUAAUCUAAGGAUCUAAAAUACUGCUCCUCGGGUAUAUUGCUAAUGGUUGCAUAUUGUAUUAGCAGCAGUGGUCUUCUUAUUCUUGGGUGAAAACCUGAAGGGUUGCUUAGACCUGUUGCAGAACAAACAGCACAUAACCAGCUUGUAUCAGGGACAUGGUCACUUCAGUAGAUGGUUUCUCACAAGUUCUGCCUCCCACUGUGUUGCUGUUUUAUCUCUAAAGGCCCCAGGGUCCCCACAAGUCUUGGGAAUAAAAGGAAGCACAGUAAGGAACUGAAAAGUACUCACACAAAGGAAAGAAAGAAGCAAGCUUCUUUGGCUAUAGUGUACUGGAGACCUUGGGAUCUUUACGUUCUUGUUUUAGGGAUCAAUCUCCUGGUACAUUAGGCAGACUUGUGCAAACCCAAGAACAGCAUAGAGGUUGCUAUAGAGGACAGCCUUACUGUGGCCCUUCAUUACCUUAACCAAAGAUGGUAAGUAAGAUUGGCUCCCACACCGUGAACUGUUCAAUGGUGAGCAGCUCUUGAGUCUCCAUACUGAUACCCCUUCAGAACUCAUUCACUCUGAGAGCCUUUUCCUCUUAGACUAGAAAGCUUCCUAGUUGACCUCUAGUCAUUUGGGCUCCUUCACAUCAGUAAAUUAGUCUAUAUCUGACCAGUCCUCUAGCUCCUUAUCCUUUCUGAGAGGAAGGGGAGUAGUUGUGGUUUUGUUUGUUUGAGUCUUGCUAUGUAGUGGAGGCUAUACUUGGACCCUGGGUCAUUCUGGUCCAGCCUCUUAAGUAAUGGAAUGAUGGACAUUCACCACCGCUAUUGUCUCUUAACUCGGACUUUAGUGUCUCCCAAAUGUCCUUCAGACAUCGUUUUUAAAUAACAAUAAGUUCUGCCUUGUUCGUAAGUAAAUUUUAGCCAGGUGUAACCCCCUAGACUUGAAAGGUGAAGACAAGCAGGUUAAGAAUUCAAUAUCUUGAUAGGCAUGCAGUGAGUUUGAACCAUUCCAGGCUACUUGAGACCCUGCCUCAGAGAGGAGGUAGGGUGUUGAGGUAGUUCCCAUUGGAGUCCAGACUGGGAAGAGCUGUGUAUUCAAAAUUAAAACAGCUUGCCUGCAUAGGGAACUCUAAAGCGAAGGAAGAUCUACACAGUAUUUGUGAUUACACAAAGCCUUAAAAAAUUGUAAGUUUGCUUUUCUCUUGAGAAGGUGAUGUCUAGCAGACUUGUCAUUCAUUGGUCUCUAAAGUCUUUCUACCUUUGUAAGUACAAAGUUAAGUCUCACUCUAACCGUGUGUCAAUGAAAGGAGCAUGCCCUGAAUAAGAUUGUACUGUAGGGAUGUGAUUUGCUCUGGUUAAAAGGUGCUGAAAGGUCUCUCACCUGUACUUGGCCUUCUGCCCCCCACCCCUAGUUACCCUGUACAUAUAUGACUUCUUCUGGUAGGAUUGGGUUUUAUCCCUGAAGUUUUAUUUUUACAGUUUUGCUUUUCAUCCAAACACAGUGCAAAUGCCUCUCUUCAUCAGCACGUUUGUAACUUUAAGAAUUAAUUGGGCUCGUUAUAUUUUGAAGAGCAUGCUGAAGAAUAGUAAAUUUUAAAGAACCAGCUGAGAACAUUGUGUACCAUGUUCUGAAGUCAGUGCGUCUCAAAUACUGUCGCUAAUCCUGAAGUAAAUCACCCAUCAAAGAUUCAUGUUCUUAGACAGUUAAAGAACAGAAGACUUCAAAAGUAAAGCAGGAUUCUAAACAUACCUUACCAAAAUCCCCACUCGCUCAGAGUCUUGGCAGAAGUGUUUUUGUUUUUCUUUUUCCCUCCACAAAGUAGAGUUAUACUUUUUGAGUCUAUCAUUGCCCACAACUAAAAUCCCCGACUUCAGGAUUUCCUGCUGCCCAGGUGGUGGCAGCAUGUCUCAGAGAGCUAGUGUGCUGGGGAAAGGCUUAACCCCAGCCUGGCUGGCUGGCUGCUUGUUUGAACGUGCAUAACCUGCCUCUGUGCAGAACGCUUUCACUUCUCCAUUUAUCGACCCAUGAGUGAUUCAUCCCACUGUAGCCUCCUCUUCUAGGUACAUUACACUCCAGUAGUUUCUCUUCAGCUUGUUCUGUCUAUAAAGUAUCUAUCAGACUCUCUCUAGAAAACUCAUUAGGACCUAUCAGGCGAGACAGUGUUAUUUCAGUUGUUAUUUUUAACCAGUAUUUGAUAUUAUUGGCAGUACUGACAGUAUCAGUAUUAGCUAAUACUACUAAGAAAUGUCUGCUUAAAAUAAAGGCAUGGUGUCUUAAACUCACAGAUUCAUCAGCGGAGGAGCUUAUGAAAAGCAGAAUUAGGACUCAAACGAACAAGAAACUCCACAGAGAGUAAUGCGAGAUUAUCAUUUAUGGGUCUAAGAAGACAGAGGGUAUAGGACGCUGGCAGUCAAGGCUGAAUUCCAUCCCCAGAUCCCAACUCAUGGAAGCUUCGCACAGAAGCCGGUUGUCAUCCUCUGAGCUGCUCUAAUGAGAUGCAAGGACCGAAGGAUGGCUGAGGGCCAGGGAGGAGCUCAAUCCUGUCCUUGGGAGUCGGUCUGGUCACGUUCUCUUCUUUCAAGCUGAAGAUGGCACCCGCUCGGCUAAGCCGGUGAAUGUGGACUUACAAGGACUCAGCCAAGUCGUGUCUAGAUUACAGGCCAAAGAUGACGAGGGAAAGAGAGCACCAGGCAAAACAAAUUUUAAUUACAAUAAUGAUGAAUGGUCCAAUAGAGCUGCAAGAUAAUGGAAGGAAGAUGGGGUACCUGAAGCCAGCUCGUUAAAAUCAGAAAAGGUGUCCUCGAGGAAACGUGGGUCCCAGACUUAAGGUAAGUAUAAAACUAAUGAGUGUGAAUAUGGCAGAAUGAACACAGCGAAGGAGUAAGGAGAGCUAAGGGGUCCAGUUGUCAAAUGAGCAGGGAGAUGGCAUGUGAUUACUUGAAGAAGAGGGAGGACCCUCUAGGGAGUAGGGGGCUGCUGACAGAAGACAAAACUGAGGGGUUGAGCGGUCUGAACAGGAGAGGUGAGGACACACCUUCUGGUGGUGGCAGAGGGAGGGGGUCUAGGGGAGAUGGCUUAUUACUCAGGGUGGGGCAAGGAUAGGCAGCAAAAGCAUCAGGGGCUGGUCUCGGAGUCCGGUCUGGCGAUGCUAUAGCAGAAAGGUUAGGGCUGCCUGCUCACAGGAUUCGGGUAAAGCCUGAGACAGAGGGGUGGGGGAGGGGAGACAACUGUUCUGAUCCAAACUUCCUAACUUUAGAGCAUACACAUCAGCAACUGAUGAGUCGCACUUGAGGUGGAAACCAAUAUGCCAGUGCCAUUUGGUGGAAGAACACAUGGGAGAGGAUGCCUUACUGACCUGGGAGGAAUUUUGAGUGUGACUUUAUUUAUCGCUGUGUUUUAGUGAUUUGUAGUCAGUUUUUUAAUAAGACUGGGAAGACCAUUUCCUUUUUUUCCUUUUUUUUUUUGUUUUUUGUUUGUUUGUUUGUUUUGUUUUGUUUUUUUUAGACAAAGCUUAGGUGGCCCAGGCUGACCCUGAACUUCUGAUCUUCUUGCUUUGCCUCUGGAGAGUUGGGGGUUACAGAAGGGCACCGUCGUGCUUUGCUUAGGAGACCUUGAGAAUUAGCUGUGUUGACUUGGAGAGCACACUUUACUUCAGGAUGACCCACAGACUCUAUUCUCAUCCACUGGUUGUGGUAGUUUGUUCAGUUCUUCCAUUUUAGGUACCUUUGCCCCAAGCUCAAGCGUUUUUUAUUUAGACAUCAAUAGAAUAGGAGCUGACAGCACAUCAAAUUUACGUGUAUUUUAUUUCAUUUUUAUAGAUGAAUUCUGUAUUUACAUCCUUCCAUUCUUCCCCCCUCAAUUUUUCCUGUUUCCCUAACUCCUUUUAAAAUUCACAAUCUCUUAAUUAUUAUCAUUAUAUAUGAAUGCAUAUGUAUAUAUCUAUACAUGCUACACAAAUAUAGCAAUAAUAUUAUACACACCCACAACCUGUUGAGUUCCUUUAGUGUUCUCAUAUGUAUGUGAGUUUAGGGCUGACUACUUGGCAUUCUAAUUUUGAGCCUAGACUUUAAUGGCUGAGACAUCUCUCCAGCCCAGGGCUAGCCACUUAGGGUUAGAUAACCCAAUUGGUGGCUGGUCCCUGGAAAAGACUGCUUCUCCCUCUCUUAAUAGCCAUUGGUUACCUGUAGCUCUUCAUUGCAUGGUGGGGUCCUGUGAGUGAUAGCAUUUCAUGAUCCUUGCUAACGAUUUGGUCACUGUUUUCUUUUCAAAGAGCGAUACUGCCCAAGAUGUUUCUGCCCAGAGUGUCAGGGCAAGCGUACAUGCUUUACUGUGGAUCUAUGACACAGAUGCAUGCCCGCUUUCCAGCAAAAGUCUGCUCACCUGCUGGGCAGGGCUCUCCGUUUUUUUUUUUAUUGAGUGGUGAAGACACAUAGCAUUCCCACUACUUAAUCUUGACGCUUUGAACUUUUCAAGCUGUUUUUCCUUCCCCUUUAGUCUGGAUAGCCGCUGUGUCCCCACAAGAGGAGGAACAGUCAUGGAGAAACACAACUGAACUUUACUGUGGCAAAAAGAAAGGGAAAAUAACAAUUAUGAGGUCUGGACAUCGAGCCUGAGGCUGGUGUUAAAAAAAAAAGAAUGCUUAUGUCUGCAUAACUUAACUUGUAUCUCUUCAGUAAAUCAAACCUGCUAUUCCACUUGACUGCAUCCAAGUCACUUAGAUGUCUGCCAACAAGAACAUUAAUGAACUCAGUAUCUCACGCAGGUUUGUUCAUGUAGAGCCCACAAUUGCUUAGCCUCCCUUCCAGCUGCUGCCUGGGCUCCAUCUGAAGGAGGUGGACAGCUGGACCAGGUCAUCACUUAACCCCAGGAUGUGGUAUGUCCUGGUCUUCAAGUCCUCUGUCUGGUUUUAGGAUGGCAUGGCUUUGAAAAGUAGUAGUUCUUGUCCUGAAAAACUUCAUGAAGCUUUGCUGCGUUCUGCCUUUGACGUAAGUGCCUGUCACAUGCUACAUAACUGACUAUGUUGUACUCUUGCUCUCUGGGGUCUCAGUUUACCUCCAUGGAUUUAUAAUUAAUGGGAUUAUUCCAGAACACAUUGUUACUCCUUAGAUUUCUCCAGAUGAUACGAGACGAUUAAGAGAAAUGCUGAAGUUGAUAUGAACCUAAUUUGUCAAAAAUGUAACAGAAUUAUAGAGAGAUCAGUCACUCCCAAACCUUUCUGCAGGUGGAGUCUAACGAAGGGAGGUCUAUAAAGUUCUAAGUCCCAGGCUGCGUGCCAGACCAAUAAAACCACACUUCUGAGGAUGGGCUUCAGGCAACAGUAGUAUGUUCACUCCACAGGUCAUCCCCAUGUGGAGACAUGUUUGGAAACCACAGAUCUGGACAAGGCCGUUGGCAACACGUCUGUGGCUCGUUCUCCCCUGCCCUGCCCUGCGGUUGGUGGCAUGUUUUUGGCUUUUUAGCAUCUUCCUUAUCUCCAUCCACAGAGAACUCCGAAGUUGGAAGCCUAAGCAGGAACACUGGACCAGACAUGACUGAAAGGUAACAACCAUUAAAGGAGCAAAGACCAAAAA